rnacentral:lncRNA from 1 species
CUCAGGGGGAAAGCCAGCUGUGGUGGUGUGCACUUGUGAUCCCAGCGGCUCUGGAGGCUGAGGCAAGAGGACUGCAAGUUUGAGGACAGCCUGGGCAACUUAGUGAGACCCUGUCACAAACAACAGCAACAAAGACACAAAACAGCCAAACAGGGCCAAGAACAGGCAAAGUCGGUGGCAGGGCAGUGGACCAGUCAGACCCACAACCCGCUGACCUAGAAGGACCUCACCGCACAAAGACGGGGGAAACAAAGGCCUUGAGUGUGGAUCAAGGGAAUUUCCGAAGCAUCAGGUUCCCCAGACACCUGGCAAAGAGGAAGAAAGCCCUCCUCGGGAAAGAGAAUAUCCUCCCAGCCUCACCAGUCUGGAGACACCUUUGCAAACAAUGCUUGGCACACAGCAAAAAAUGACCAGACAGGUGGGGAGCUGGCUCCAAAAGGGACCAAUCAGAGCCACCGAACCAAAGGCAUGCAAAUUACCGGAAUUCUUGAAUUUUCCUCAAAUGGGAGCUUAUUGUUUUGGUGAUCAUCUAUCCUGGAAGAAAUACUUUGCGUUCCAGAACCACUGGGCCCAAGAGGUGAGAACAGCCCCAGCUGCCCCAGGAGCCUGCAUAGGCAGAUACACCGGGGACAGCGGAAGCGCCGGGACCUGCUGACCGGCUGGAGCUGGACCCUGAGGUUCGGCAGAGCCGGCUGGGACCUAAGUGUCCUGCAGGAUGCACGUGGUUUACUGCAAGCUGCUGUCGGAGGGUCC